ACCACCCGGGAACUGCAGCAGCUGCCCCGGGCUCCGCCCCGAGGACCCGCGCGGCCCGCCAAGCGCCGGCUCCUCCCCCGAAGCCUGCCCGUGGGACUGGUCCAGUCGUUUCGCCUCAGGCUCGUGCCCGGGCCCAAGCAAGCCCGCCAUGGAGGGGGAUAUCCCCGCCGCUGCAGCCGCCCGCUACCAACCGGCCAGCCCCCCGCGGGACGCCUGUAUCUACAACAGCUGCUACUGUGAAGAAAAUAUUUGGAAGCUCUGCGAAUACAUCAAAAACCAUGACCAGUAUCCUUUAGAAGAAUGUUAUGCUGUCUUCAUAUCUAAUGAGAGGAAGAUGAUACCUAUUUGGAAACAACAGGCAAGACCUGGAGAUGGACCUGUGAUCUGGGAUUACCAUGUUGUCCUGCUUCAUGUUUCAAGUGGAGGACAGAGCUUCAUUUAUGAUCUUGACACUGUCCUGCCAUUUCCCUGUCCGUUUGACACUUAUGUGGAAGAUGCCUUUAAGUCCGACGAGGACAUCCAUCCACAGUUUAGAAGGAAAUUUAGAGUGAUCCGUGCAGAUUCGUAUUUGAAGAACUUUGCUUCUGACCGAUCUCACAUGAAAGAUUCCAGUGGGAACUGGAGAGAACCUCCUCCAUCAUAUCCCUGCAUUGAAACUGGAGAUUCCAAAAUGAACCUGAAUGAUUUUAUCAGUAUGGAUCCUGAGGUAGGAUGGGGAGCCGUGUACUCCCUAUCUGAAUUUGUACAUCGGUUUGGCAGUCAGAACUACUGAACUUGACAUCUGGAUGUAGAACCAUGGAGAAGUUCUAGGACACGAACAGUCCAUCCCUUCACUGGGGACAGCAAACACUAUGAUCCUCUGCCUUGUGCUAUGGAGGGACACCUGCAGUCGUUACUCAAGAAUCAGUCAAAGGAAAUGUCAUGUAUCCGUUUGGUUCAGCUGAUCAGGAGGCUUCUGGGAGAAAGUGAAUGAACCUUUGAUCAUGCUGUCCUUGUCCACGCAGCUUUCUCUCAAGACUCUCAGGCCUCAGCCUUUUCACUUCUCAGUCUGGAGGGCACAUCACAGAUGACUUCUGCAGGUGGCCAGGAUCUUGCGAGGUGAUUUUAUUCGCGUCACCCACACUCUCAGUGGGCUCCUCACUCCACAAACGUACCUUGUCCUUUGUCCUGUGUCUGACUGUGGCUCAGGGGAUGUCCCCUUUUCCUCUGAGCAGACUAUCUCUUUCACCCUCUCAGCCACGGAGAGUGUGGCUUUGGCUGUGACCUGUAGCAGGUGUCUGUUGGGGCCAGGCUUUUAGAAACAUCUAUUUGUUAUCAAGGGAGCAGUCACAGCUGAAUUUCGCUUAGAGUCAACAGGCAGGUUUUCCUGAGGUUACCAUGGGGACCUGGAGUUUGAGAGCAAUUUCUGGGAAAAACACUGGGAAGAAAUUGAGGGGCAAAAUGUUAAUACAGUCACAGUGUCCUGGCACACACCAUUUCUAGAAUCAUGGGUGAUGGAUGAGUCAUUUUCCCACUCAAGGCCCACAGGGUGCAGAGCUGAUGUGAUCGCGAAGGCCAGGUGUGGAGGAGGCCUAGUUCCUGCGCUCAGAAUACAAGAAAAAUCAGGUUUCAGUCCUUAGUCCCCAUUACAGCUGUGCUUUUUGUUCACCAGUUGCUGUGUUACCUUGGGGAAAUCACUUAACCUCUCUGGGCCUUUGUUGCUUCACUUAAGGUUAUUUUGAGAGCGUGUGUGUGCGUGCGCACACGUGUGUGUGUGAGAAAGAAAGAGAGGUUUCAUACUCUGAAAGGUAAAGUGUUUUAAAUUGCUAAUACUCGGGGCGCCUGGGUGGCACAGCGGUUAAGCGUCUGCCUUUGGCUCAGGGCGUGAUCCUGGCGUUAUGGGCGAGCCCCACAUCAGGCUCCUCUGCUCUGAGCCUGCUUCUUCCUCUCCCACUCCCCCUGCUUGUGUUCCCUCUCUCGUUGGCUGUCUCUAUCUCUGUCAAAUAAAUAAAUAAAAUCUUAAAAAAAAAUUGCUAAUACUCAUUUCGUGUGUAAUAUAUGCCAUAUCUUUUUUUUUAAAUGUCAUUUUAAAGUGAUCCUUUUGCUUUCCCAUCCUCUUAGUUCUGUCACUUAAAUGACUUUGUCACCUGUUGGACUUCUAGGCAUCUUGGAAACUUAAAAACAAACAAAUCAAUUUGGCUCAACCUCUAUGGAGGGUAACCCGAAUAUUUAUCUUUAAAAAUGACCUAUAAAAAUACUUUUUGACUUAGUCAUUCCCCAUGUAGGAAUUUGUUUUCCAGAACUACUGCACAUACGUAAGACGUGGAUAAACAGGUUAUUCACUGUAGCAUUUGGAUAACAACACAAGAUUGGAAAUCACCUGUAGGCCCAUCCACUGGAGCCCGAUGGGGUGAAAUGUAAUCCAGCUGUAGAGGAAAGUAUUAUGAAGCUGUGAAAAUAAAUGAGCAAGGUUGUUCCUUAAGCUGAGUGGUGAUGUUUCUUUUCUUUUGUGUUAACUUACGUUAUAUUCUUUUGUAUCCUAGAUAUUUAGUAAAGUUUAAAAAUCAAGUGAAACAGUGUGUAUUAAAACACAAAAAUACAUGUGUAUUUGCUUGUAUUUGGACAGAAUAUCUAAAAGAAUAUCCAAUAUCCAAAAUAAACUGGUAAUAUUGGCUGCCUCUAGAGAGGAGAACCAGUGGCCGGGGUUGGGAAGGGAGGGAAACUCCAUUGUAUACCCUUUUCUGUUUUUAAGAGUUGUGAUCUCUGUGAAUGUAUUACUGGUUAGAAAUAGAUUUAAAAUAAAAAAAACAAACCACAUGUUCCAUCACUUACACAUUUACCCACAUAACUUUUUUUUUUUAAACACACACAACUUUUAACAGGUACGGUUUCAGGUACUCUCUGUCGUGAAAGGCGCUUUCACCAACAGCAGGAAAAGUCAGGAUGUGUGAGGCACACUUAACAGAAUGUGGAGGUAAUGUUCACAUGAUGAGAGCCUGCGGAAUGAGGAAGCAUGCCCUCCAUUGUUCUUCCAUUAUACUGCUCUUCGCCUCGUGUUCACCAGCUCUAAACUGUGAUUUUGCUGCUGGGAGUGAAGGUUAGACCUCCGAGCAGCAGGGGAAUGCUUUGUGUGCUGGUAAAGGGUGUGUUUCUGUGCCGCAUAUGGGUUUGAGCUGCACUUUGGUGCAGAAAGGCUCAGGAGGCCCGUGAGCUCAUGCAAAGAGACUAACCCUUCUGAGUAGAUUCCUCUUGUUUAAAGAAUCUUAACACCUCGAGGGAACCCAUAAUGAUAGCUCACAUUUAUUGGGUACUCGUUUUGUAUCCGGCAUUGCUCAAAGCCACUCACUGUGUAUAAAAUUAUUAUCCUUACAACAACCCGAUGAAGUGGGAAUUAGUAUUAUCCCCAUUAUUCAGGUGAGGAAACAGGCAUGGGCAACUUAGCCGAAGGAGCACAGUUAAUACAUAGAAGAACGUGAUUUGAACCUGGGUCUGACUCCAGAAUUACUACCUCACAAAAUGAAGAUGCAGGCACGUUGGAAUAAAUCCAAAGGCAAAAUUAGAGCAUUGUCCUCUGAAAAGCAGAGUGGAUUAUAGAAGUAAGAACCUGGGGAAGUAAUGGGGUGGCCUGUCAUGAACGACAAGAUGAGAUUUAGGGCUUAAUCUUAUAGGAGAAAAGGAGCUAUGGUGGCAAACUCUUAGCAGAGGGCUGUGGGAAGACUAGAACUUUGCAGAGGGUCCUUUGACUGGGGUUGGCAGGUUGGGGUUGGCAGAGUGGGGAGACCAGGGGGAAGAGGCCUCCGCAUGCAAAUCGAUGGGGUCAGGACUAGGGAGGGUGCCAUGGUCAUGGAAGGAUGCAUCUGGGAUGUUUCUCUGCAAGGAUUUGGUAGGGUUUGUACUAGUUGAAGAUUGAAAAGAAAUCAAGUAGAGAAUAACAUGGUUAGUUAGCAUACUCUAUCCUGCAGGCAUCGGUCAUGGAGAAGGUAUUUCAUCCUCCUUUCACAUUCUGGUGCAUUUAAUGCUUCUGCUAGCUACUAUGCUCAAGGCUUUCAUGGUCAAUCACUUGUCUGCUGAACGGUUCUUCCAGGGGCGCCUGGGUGGCUCAGUCCUUAAGCGUCUACCUUCGGCUCAGGGCGUGAUCCCAGGGUCCUGGAGUCAAGCCCCGCAUCGGGCUCCCUG